rnacentral:rRNA from 1 species
GACGAACGCUGGCGGCGUGCCUAAUACAUGCAAGUCGAGCGAAGUUUUUCUGGUGCUUGCACUAGAAAAACUUAGCGGCGAACGGGUGAGUAACACGUAAAGAACCUGCCUCAUAGACUGGGACAACUAUUGGAAACGAUAGCUAAUACCGGAUAACAGUAUUUCUCGCAUGAGAGAUAUUUAAAAGUUGGUUAUGCUAACACUAUGAGAUGGCUUUGCGGUGCAUUAGCUAGUUGGUGGGGUAAAGGCCCACCAAGGCGACGAUGCAUAGCCGACCUGAGAGGGUGAUCGGCCACACUGGGACUGAGACACGGCGCAGACUCCUACGGGAGGCAGCAGUAGGGAAUCUUCCGCAAUGGGCGAAAGCCUGACGGAGCAGCGCCGCGUGAGUGAAGAAGGAUUUCGGUUCGUAAAGCUCUGUUGUUAGGGAAGAAUGGAUAUGUAGUAACUAUACAUGUAAGAGACGGUACCUAACCAGAAAGCCACGGCUAACUACGUG